rnacentral:misc_RNA from 1 species
AAAAAAAAACAGAACCCAGUUUGAGGAUGACAAUCUUCGAGGACGUUGUAAACAUUCUACUCUAAGAGCUGUUAAAAAUAUAAUUCUUUUCAUCUCACCCUAUAUAUAUAUAUACAUAAAAUAUAAUUCCACUUAAAUAAAUAAAUAUUCAUACAACAAGAUAAUCCCAACUAAUUUAAAAAAAAAAAGCAGUUAUAUAAAUGAUGGACAGUGAACAUAAAGGCGUGAAUAUGGGGGGGCUCUCAAGUUCAACAACCACUGGAUCAAGAGCAGCAGCAACCGCAUUAAGUCUGCAGAAAUCCUCAUCCAAACACGCGGCAGGAGGACUACCAAUUAUUCACAACAGCAAACAAUACCCCGUGUUCAAGACAGAGUUUGGCUCUAUGAAAGUCAAGUCUGAAUCCAAAACACCCUACUCGGAUGCAACUCAGACCAAAAAGCACAAAACGAACCACAUAAAACGUCCCAUGAACGCAUUUAUGGUCUGGUCUCAGUUGGAGAGGCGUAAAAUCAUCGAAGUCACUCCUGAGAAACAUAAUGCGGAGAUUUCAAAGGAACUUGGACGUCGAUGGAAGCUCCUUGUUCAAAAGGAUCGACAGCCUUACAUCGAUGAAGCAGAGAGGCUUCGAGUCUUACAUAACCAAGAGUACCCUGACUACAAAUACAAACCCAGGAAAAGGAAUAAUAGUGGAAGUGUGAUCCUUCACUCAAGUGCUAAUUUGAGUAGUAGUAAUAUCAGUAGUCCUUCUCUUACUACUACUCAACAGUCGUCAUCGUCAGUCAUGAACAACAAUAAUAAUUCGUCAGUGAAUGUAUCAGUAAAAUCUACUUCGAUAUCGAAUGCUGCGAAUCACAUUAAUAACCUAAGCAGUCAUUCGAAUGCUAAUUUGAGUCAACAUCAUAUACGACCCUUUAGCGCCUCUGGUGCUUCCUCCUCCAAAACAUACCACAAAACCAUAAUAAAAAAGGAAGCAGGGACCAGCACACCAAAUAAAAUUCGUAUCCUCCAUACAAGACAUACCGUUCUACCUCCUCCUAAUAUUACGUUUAAUAGUAAUUUUCGAGACAUUAUCGAUGACGAAGAUGAUGAGGAUUCUAUUGGAAAUGAUAAAUUUUUAUUUUUUGACCGUUUUCGUUCAGAAGAUUCUCCAGAACCAAAUCUACUAGAUGCAUGGGAGACUCGGAGCUCCAUUAGCUCAGAAGGAUCAUCUUCAUCAAUUUUUGACUUUUCUGGAUCCGAAAGUCUCCUCAGUGAUAUUGGGAUUUCGGAUUUAGAUGUUCCAAAUAUUUAAAAGAAAAACUUCUUCUUUUUUUUUUGUUAAAUAACCCCUCCGUUUGGAUUGUUUUUUUGUAUAGACUGCAGCUAUCGUCAUAAAACAAAACAAAAAAAAUACGAUUAUUAUUUAGACCACAUCUCUCAACUCUUUUAAUUUUUUUUUUUUUUUUAAAUUAAAAUUCAACAAAUAUUUUAUUCAAAAAGUUUUAAAGUAAUUCCACCAGUAAUUAAAUACGGUUCAUCACCAAUCCUUUCAAGGGCAAAACCAUAGAGAAAGAUUCAAAUAAAACAUAGAAGGAGGAGUCAAUGGGAUUUAUGUCCAUUGAUGUUUGACCUAAUAUAGAUCAAUCUUAAUAUGUAUGUGUCAUAAAUUCAUCUGGGCAAAGGGGUACACGUUAUUAACUUGAUUGUAUCACGCAUCCUUUCAUCCAAAAAAAAAUACCACAAAAAGGCCCAAAAUGAGUUGGUUUUUAGUCAAAUCUUCCCAAAAUUUGUGACUAUUCGUGAAUUAUUUUUGGCAAUUGUUCGCAGCUUAACAAAAGCUAGUUCUAAUUCAGGCAAUCAACGUUCGGAAGACUUAUUAAGAGGGGGAAAGCAGUAAUAGCAACAGCUGACAACAAAAUAUUCUGUAUAUUUUUGUGUUACAGAGGUAACUCCGUGGAUAAUGGUUAUAAUUACUGUGAAAUAGUAGCAGACAUUCACCAUUAAGUCCUUUGUUGUUAGUUCCACUAUUUAAAUAUUUGCAAAAGAAUACUGAUAGUAGUUGUUUCAAAUACUCCGGUAUAAUCGUGGAACCAAUUACCCAGAUUAUUUGUAGAAAUAACCAAAUAUUAUUCAUAAAACAAAUGUGGUGCCAUCAAUUUAACUUCAUUUAACAGAUUUAUUCCAUGUUCUAAGUCUAUAUUAGUGUUGUUCAGUUCGGGUACUAUACUAACCGCUAUUUGCAGACCCAUUACUUCAUAAAAAAUGACCUGAGGAUACCGUUACCACCCAAAUCUCUGAACCCGACUCUCCUUAAUAAGAUUGCCCUUUUAAUAAGUCCUCAAAUUUCUGAGCUAAUCUCCAUGCCAAACAAAAAUCCUACGGAGGCUCUUUUAAGUGUAUGUGAAUUACCCUUGACGAUAUUUUGGUUUUGUUUUUAAUCGAAAAAGUGUCAAAAAGUACGGGUACUAUUUUUGGUAUCCGAACUAGUUCAAAAAUAUUAGUAGUACCCUGUCUCCUCACCUAUGUUUUUUCAGGUCAUUCUCCAUGGGGGAAGCCCAUUUUCAUUAGUAACAUAAUAUAUAUAAUCGAACUAUUGCACAAAAUUUAACUUACAUAACCUUUUUGCAAUCAUUUUAAUUUGAAGUCAAUACAUACCUAUUUUUGUUCUUCUUCCCUCAUUACAAAAA